rnacentral:rRNA from 1 species
UACGGGGGGGGCAAGCGUUGUUCGGAAUUACUGGGCGUAAAGGGCUCGUAGGUGGCCAACUAAGUCACACGUGAAAUCCCUCGGCUUAACCGGGGAACUGCGUGUGAUACUGGAUGGCUUGAGUUUGGGAGAGGGAUGAGGAAUUCCUGGUGUAGCGGUGGAAUGCGCAGAUAUCAGGAGGAACACCUAUAGCGAAGGCAGCUCGCUGGGACGAUAUUGACGCUAAGGUGCGAAAGCGUGGGGAGCGAACAGG